AGAGUUUGAUCCUGGCUCAGGAUGAACACUAGCUACAGGCUUAACACAUGCAAGUCGAGGGGCAGCAUGGUCUUAGCUUGCUAAGGCCGAUGGCGACCGGCGCACGGGUGAGUAACGCGUAUCCAACCUGCCUUACACUCUUGGACAGCCUUCUGAAAGGGAGAUUAAUACAAGAUGUUAUCAUGAGUAAGCAUUUUCACAUGAUUAAAGGUUUACCGGUGUAAGAUGGGGAUGCGUUCCAUUAGAUAGUAGGCGGGGUAACGGCCCACCUAGUCUUCGAUGGAUAGGGGUUCCGAGAGGAAGGUCCCCCACAUUGGAACUGAGACACGGUCCAAACUCCUACGGGAGGCAGCA
rnacentral:rRNA from 1 species